rnacentral:ncRNA from 1 species
UACGAUAAAGGCAAAUCCUGAGCAAUCAGGAGACGCAAAGUAAAGGGUCUUUAAAUUUACAGGGAAGUGGGUUAAGAAGAGACAGGCUCCCUUAGAGUUAAAGAUAGCCUUACCGCCGGGA